ACACGUAGCUCUCGGAUUGGACAAGCUGUAGACCCUGUGCUUUGGAGAAGUGGCCUAAAGGGAUCUGGUCCUUAUUUUCUGAAACAGGCAGCAGCGAACAGCAACAUCACGGA